UACAGAGGUCUCGAGCGUUGUUCGGAUUCACUGGGCGUAAAGGGCGCGUAGGCGGCGGGGUAAGUCUGGUGUGAAAUCUCGGAGCUCAACUCCGAAAUUGCACUGGAUACUGCUUUGCUAGAGGGCUGGAGAGGAGAUCGGAAUUCACGGUGUAGCAGUGAAAUGCGUAGAUAUCGUGAGGAAGACCAGUGGCGAAGGCGGAUCUCUGGACAGCUCCUGACGCUGAGGCGCGAAGGCUAGGGGAGCAAACGGG
rnacentral:rRNA from 1 species